rnacentral:rRNA from 1 species
CCUACGGGAGGCUGCAGUGGGGAAUAUUGGGCAAUGGGCGCAAGCCUGACCCAGCAACGCCGCGUGAAGGAAGAAGGCUUUCGGGUUGUAAACUUCUUUUGUCAGGGACGAAGGAAGUGACGGUACCUGACGAAUAAGCCACGGCUAACUACGUGCCAGCAGCCGCGGUAAUACGUAGGUGGCAAGCGUUAUCCGGAUUUACUGGGUGGAAAGGCCGUGUAGGCGGGACUGCAAGUCAGAUGUGAAAACCACGGGCUCAACCUGUGGCCUGCAUUUGAGACUGUAGUUCUUGAGUACUGGAGAGGCAGACGGAAUUCCUAGUGUAGCGGUGAGAUGCGUAGAUAUAUGGAAGAACAUCAGUGGCGAAGGCGACCGCCUGGCCUGUUAACUGACGCUGAGGCACGAAAGCGUGGGGAGCAAAUAGGAUUAGAUACCCGUGUAGUC